rnacentral:sRNA from 1 species
GCUUUAUAUAUUCAGUCUACUUGCUUAGUAUCUAUAUAUUAGAUCCGACACUUUAAAGCUAGAUGCUUAGUAUUGUUGAUUCUAUUCAGUGCUAUAUAUAUAUGUGUGUGUCUUCCAGUUCAAUUCACUUCAGUUUAUUCAUUCAAACCAUAAAAUGGUACAUGAGGUCAGUCAGUAUAUUUAGUUCAAAAGUCAGAUGUAUUCCAGCAUUAUUGUAUCCAUGUAUUUCAAUGAAUUUGUUAUCACGAAUCCGGUGACUAUUAAUUAUGUUGUAACACUUUGUUUAUAUUAACGAGCUUAUCUAAAAGCAAGUCUCUCUUUUCUAGCAUUGUACAUUUUGUUCAUUUUUCACCCGAUUACCCCGUCAGUCUAUCACUUUCAUUUGUAGUAUCUUCUAAUAAAUAAAUGUUAAACGCUC